rnacentral:rRNA from 1 species
UGGCGGACGGGUGAGUAACGCGUGGGUAACCUGCCUCAUACAGGGGGAUAACGGUUAGAAAUGACUGCUAAUACCGCAUAAGCGCACAGUACCGCAUGGUACAGUGUGAAAAACUCCGGUGGUAUGAGAUGGACCCGCGUCUGAUUAGCUAGUUGGUGGGGUAACGGCCCACCAAGGCGACGAUCAGUAGCCGACCUGAGAGGGUGACCGGCCACAUUGGGACUGAGACACGGCCCAG